CUUGCUAUCCAGAGAGCGGCGUACGGGUGCGUAACACGUGUGCAACCUGCCUUUAUCUGGGGGAUAGCCUUUCGAAAGGAAGAUUAAUACCCCAUAAUAUGGUGUCCGGCAUCGGUCGCCAUUGAAAGCCUCGGCGGAUAGAGAUGGGCACGCGCAAGAUUAGAUAGUUGGCGGGGUAACGGCCCACCAAGUCGAUGAUCUUUAGGGGUCCUGAGAGGGAGAUCCCCCACACUGGUACUGAGACACGGACCAGACUCCUACGGGAGGCAGCAGUGAGGAAUAUUGGACAAUGGGUGGAAGCCUGAUCCAGCCAUCCCGCGUGAAGGAUGACGGUCCUAUGGAUUGUAAACUUCUUUUGUACAGGGAUAAACCUGCCCUCGCGAGGGCAGCUGAAGGUACUGUACGAAUAAGCACCGGCUAACUCCGUGCCAGCAGCCGCGGUAAUACGGAGGGUGCGAGCGUUAUCCGGAUUUAUUGGGUUUAAAGGGUCCGUAGGCGGGCCUGUAAGUCAGUGGUGAAAUCUCAUAGCUUAACUAUGAAACUGCCAUUGAUACUGCAGGCCUUGAGUAAAUUUGAAGUGGCUGGAAUAAGUAGUGUAGCGGUGAAAUGCAUAGAUAUUACUUAGAACACCGAUUGCGAAGGCAGGUCACUAAGAUUUAACUGACGCUGAUGGACGAAAGCGUGGGGAGCGAACAGGAUUAGAUACCCUGGUAGUCCACGCCGUAAACGAUGCUAACUCGUUUUGGAUCUUCGGGUUCAGAGACCAAGCGAAAGUGAUAAGUUAGCCACCUGGGGAGUACGUCCGCAAGGAUGAAACUCAAAGGAAUUGACGGGGGCCCGCACAAGCGGUGGAUUAUGUGGUUUAAUUCGAUGAUACGCGAGGAACCUUACCAAGACUUAAAUGGGAAUUGACAGAUUUAGAAAUAGAUCCUCCUUCGGGCAAUUUUCAAGGUGCUGCAUGGUUGUCGUCAGCUCGUGCCGUGAGGUGUUAGGUUAAGUCCUGCAACGAGCGCAACCCCUGCCAACAGUUGCCAUCAUUCAGUUGGGGACUCUGUUGGGACUGCCUACGCAAGUAGAGAGGAAGGUGGGGAUGACGUCAAAUCAUCACGGCCCUUACGUCUUGGGCCACACACGUAAUACAAUGGCCGGUACAGAGGGCAGCUACCUGGUGACAGGAUGCGAAUCUCGAAAGCCGGUCUCAGUUCGGAUUGGAGUCUGCAACUCGACUCUAUGAAGCUGGAAUCGCUAGUAAUCGCGCAUCAGCCAUGGCGCGGUGAAUACGUUCCCGGGCC
rnacentral:rRNA from 1 species